UGGGGAAUAUUGCACAAUGGGCGCAAGCCUGAUGCAGCCAUGCCGCGUGUGUGAAGAAGGCCUUCGGGUUGUAAAGCACUUUCAGCGAGGAGGAAGGUGGUGAGCUUAAUACGCUCAUCAAUUGACGUUACUCGCAGAAGAAGCACCGGCUAACUCCGUGCCAGCAGCCGCGGUAAUACGGAGGGUGCAAGCGUUAAUCGGAAUUACUGGGCGUAAAGCGCACGCAGGCGGUUUGUUAAGUCAGAUGUGAAAUCCCCGGGCUCAGCCUGGGAACUGCAUUUGAAACUGGCAAGCUAGAGUCUCGUAGAGGGGGGUAGAAUUCCAGGUGUAGCGGUGAAAUGCGUAGAGAUCUGGAGGAAUACCGGUGGCGAAGGCGGCCCCCUGGACGAAGACUGACGCUCAGGUGCGAAAGCGUGGGGAGCAAACAGGAUUAGAGUACCCUGGUAGUCCACGCUGUAAACGAUGUCGAUUUGGAGGUUGUGCCCUUGAGGCGUGGCUUCCGGAGCUAACGCGUUAAAUCGACCGCCUGGGGAGUACGGCCGCAAGGUUAAAACUCAAAGGAAUUGACGGGGUCAUAGCUGUUUCCUG
rnacentral:rRNA from 1 species